UUAAAAACAGCCAGUGCUCCCUGGUGAAACAUUUUAACACACACACCAGCACUUCACACAUCCCUCACUCCACCAGCCACAGCGUGACAGCCCCGGCUGCUGCCCGUGCACCCCAAAAACCUCUCCCCCAUCCCCAAAAAGAGCCACCCUGGCGCAACAGCUGCUUGCCAGCAUCUCCCCUCCUUCCUUCUUUAAACCACCCAGCGCGGACAGAACUUUCUCCCCCUCCUUUUCCCUGGUGAGAAGGAGUGCUAAUUACCCCGACGUGCGAUGCACACACACAGGCACCAUGUUGAUAUGAUUGCAAGGACUGGUAACGUCAGCAUCCCGGGGACCCUCCUCCGGCUGGGAGCAGAGGGAAGAGGCUCAGCCGUGCGGAGCAGCAGGUGCCGGAGGCAGCCGGAGCCACUCGCCAGGGGACCCCUGGUGUGAGGAGCAGCCACGCCAGAAACUCCCUCCCUCUGUGUGAUCUCAGCUGGAGAAACAUGUUUGAAGUCCCCAGCACAAAGAAAGGCACUAAUUAAAUACAACAACGCUUCUGCUCUGACAUGGAAAAGAAAGCCCUGCAACUGGGAGAGCAGCCAGCCCUCAAGUCCUCCGAGGGCUGAGAGAAGCCGGCCAGCACAAAGCUCCCUCCCUGCCCUCCUCACUCCUGCAAGCCCCAGGACCUGAGCUGGGGAUGGCUGAACGGGAGCCACUUCACCUCCCCAGCAGAGAAAAGCCACAGCUCACCUGCACAGCCUCCAAGAGAGGAGUUGUUCGACUUGCAUAGGGAGAUACAAGCCUUAUUCGCUUUGUUCAUGGAGCCCUCUGCAUCAUUCAAUUUUUUUUCCCCUGCUCACUUCAAAAAAUCUGACUUCUCCCAUGGUGGCAGACAGAGGUAAGUGAGGUUUACCCAUGCUGCCUCGACUCACUUCUUGGAAAUAAUCUGAUGAUAGAGCAGCUUUUUAGCUACACAGGAUAAAAAGCUCUCCCUCCUGGGCUAAGGCUUUCAGUGACUUCGGAGG
rnacentral:lncRNA from 1 species